AUAUCUCGGCUCUCGCAUCGAUGAAGAACGUAGCGAAAUGCGAUACUUGGUGUGAAUUGCAGAAUCCCGUGAACCAUCGAGUCUUUGAACGCAAGUUGCGCCCAAAGCCGUCAGGCCGAGGGCACGUCUGCCUGGGCGUCACGCAUCGCGUCGCUCCCCUC
rnacentral:rRNA from 1 species